UAAAAAAUUGUCCUAGUUGGAUACCAGAAGUUCAAUUUCGCCAGUUGAUAGAGUAUUGGGAGCUUCCAACUGUUAAAAAAGAAACAAAAAUGAAGGCAUCGAAUGGGGCCUGUUAAUUUUGGAAGAGUACGCAUGGCACUGCGUGCAACCAAAGAGAAUAAUGAGGAACCAUCAAAGGCUGAAAUGUUUAUUGCAACUCGUACGAAGAAUGGAAAACAAGU